rnacentral:rRNA from 2 species
UACGUAGGGUGCAAGCGUUGUCCGGAAUUAUUGGGCGUAAAGAGCUCGUAGGCGGUUUGUCGCGUCUGCUGUGAAAACCCGAGGCUCAACCUCGGGCCUGCAGUGGGUACGGGCAGACUAGAGUGCGGUAGGGGAGAUUGGAAUUCCUGGUGUAGCGGUGGAAUGCGCAGAUAUCAGGAGGAACACCGAUGGCGAAGGCAGAUCUCUGGGCCGUAACUGACGCUGAGGAGCGAAAGCGUGGGGAGCGAACAGG